AAGGAAAAUUCGAGAGAUUUUGCAGACUGUAGAGAGAGAAAGGAGAGAAAAGAAGGGAAAUGGCUGCAUUUGAUGCGUUCAGUAUGGACGGUGAGGUACCGGCACCGGCGGCAUCAACACCGUUCGAUGAUGGAGACUACGACGGCUCUUACACCGCCUUCUCCAACGCCGAUACGCCGCCGUUUCACGGCUCUGGAGGAUUCGGUGGAGACUAUGACGAAGUAACGGUGGAACACGUAUCUCAUACCGUCGAUAGUCCCGAUCCCUACGGAUACGGGUCAGAUUCGUUUCCAAACCAAACCGGUUCAUUUGGAGCUUCUGCAGCUCCGAUCUCGAACGGGAAUGGUAAGCCCUACGAUCUAGGUGAAGAUACUGAGGGAAUUUUCAGUUCCGAUGGACCCGUUCUCCCCCCUCCGAAUGAAAUGCGUGAGGAAGGUUUUGCGCUCCGCGAAUGGCGAAGGCAAAAUGCUAUCCGUCUUGAGGAGAAGGAGAAGAGAGAAAAGGAAAUCAGAAGCCAAAUUAUUGAGGAAGGUGAAGAAUAUAAGAAAGCAUUCUAUGAGAAAAGAAAUCUCAGUAUUGAGACCAACAAGACAACUAACCGCGAGAAAGAAAAGCUGUACUUGACUAGUCAAGAGAAGUUCCAUAAAGAAGCUGAUAAGCAAUAUUGGAAAGCCAUAGCAGAGCUCAUUCCCAAGGAGGUGCCCAGCAUUGAGAAGAAGGGAAGGAAGAAGGAUCAAGAUAAGAAGCCAUCCAUCACAGUCGUCCAAGGGCCUAAACCUGGGAAACCUACCGAUCUUUCAAGGAUGCGCCACAUACUGCUGAAGCUUAAGCACACCCCACCACCUCACAUGAUACCACCCCCUCCUGCCCCUGCCAAGGACGCCAAAGUUGGGAAGGAUGGAAAAGACACCAAGGAUGCCAAAGCUGGAAAGGACGGAAAAGACACCAAGAAUGCUAAAGAUACUGUAGCACCAAAUGGGACUCCAGAUGCACCUACCAGUGAUGCCAAAGUUACUCAGACAUCAGAAGAACCUACUGCUGCAGAAUGAUCGGCUUUUAGCCUAAUUUCUUUAGUCUUUGAUGUUGUAAUGUGUUAUCCUCUUACAUAUACUCUUUUUUCUCUAUGAAUUUUGUAUCAUUUACUAUAUUUUGUGUCAUUCUACUACUAUUCUAUUGGUUCGUGACAGACAUUAGCUGCAUUUUGUUGCAUUGGAUGUCUGAGUUUGUUUAUUGUACUAUUUAGGUCCUUUCUUA
rnacentral:misc_RNA from 1 species